rnacentral:rRNA from 1 species
AACGAACGCUGGCGGCAGGCCUAACACAUGCAAGUCGAGCGGUAGAGAGAAGCUUGCUUCUCUUGAGAGCGGCGGACGGGUGAGUAAUGCCUAGGAAUCUGCCUGGUAGUGGGGAUAACGUUCGGAAACGAACGCUAAUACCGCAUACGUCCUACGGGAGAAAGCAGGGGACCUUCGGGCCUUGCGCUAUCAGAUGAGCCUAGGUCGGAUUAGCUAGUAGGUGAGGUAAUGGCUCACCUAGGCGACGAUCCGUAACUGGUCUGAGAGGAUGAUCAGUCACACUGGAACUGAGACACGGUCCAGACUCCUACGGGAGGCAGCAGUGGGGAAUAUUGGACAAUGGGCGAAAGACCUGAUCCAGCCAUGCCGCGUGUGUGAAGAAGGUCUUCGGAUUGUAAACUGCUUUAUACAAGAAGAAACACUACCCUCCG